GGUGAGUAAUUACAUUGCAGCUUAUGCCACCAAUUGGCUACAGCCACCCAAAGGGCAGAGAUUGGAGGAGGCACUGUGGUGAAUUUUUAAUUUGUUGUGGAUACAGAAGACAAGAGUUGGAACUGCUGUUCUGGAGAAGAUCUGUUAGCCAGAGCCCAACUAGGAACCAGAAGGAACAUCACAGCCUGAGGCCCUACGCUGACAAGGGGAACAAAGCACUUCAUGCUUCUCCAAGCUCUUUCCCGGACUUGGUGUGAAACCCAAGACACCAUUCAUGGGAAAGAGCAGCAGAAAGUGGCAGGUCACACUGCAGAGCAGUGGCAGGUCUUGGUCUCCCAACUCUCCUAGCCUAUUGUUUGCUGUCAGGGCACAGAAGAAGCCUGAAACCACUGUACCAGCCAGGCUUGAGUAUAAUAUUUGAUGCAGUCUUAGAAAACUGAGCCACUGCAAUGUUCUGCUGUGAUUUUUUUGACAUUCUGCCUGUGCUACUGGAAGCACAGUGACAGCAGUCAUCCCCAGCUUCCUGGCUUGUCAUGUUAUGAAGAAAAAUCUUGCAGGCUGCCUUUCACUUGCUUUUCUGCCCUAGCAAGUCUGUGCCCCGGAAGGCAGACAAAUGAGUCUUGUCUCCCAGAUGUGUCCAUGUUUUUCCCAGAGAGCUCACAAGCCCUUCUAUUUCCCUUGUCUCAGUCUCUUCCAAGUAUCUUCCGUAGAUUUUUCAUUGAAACCUCUCCAUCAAAUAAUCUAUUUGUUUUCCCAAUAGUGGAGAAGCAGCUGAAGAACAAGAAAGCUUUAGGACAGGUGCACAGAGAAUCAAUAUGAACACAUAAAUAUCUACAUUGAGAGGAAACAAAACACGUAUGGGUUUGGUUUUGUUUGUUUGUUUUUGGGUUUGUUUGUUUUUGUUUUUGUUUGUCUUGAAAUAAGAAUGAAUAGAUUUAUUUACCACUGGUUUCAAGCUCUCACAAUGGAUUUAUCACCUGAAUU
rnacentral:lncRNA from 7 species